GCCUCUUGGCAGUAGUGCUUUAUCAUACCGGGGACUUCAACCAGGCAACUAUCUAUCAACAGAAGGCUUUAGAUAUUAACGAGAGGGAACUUGGACUUGAUCACCCAGAUACUAUGAAAAGCUAUGGAGAUCUUGCUGUUUUCUACUAACGCCUUCAACAUACAGAAUUGGCACUAAAGUAUGUGAACCGUGCCCUAUAUCUUUUGCACCUGACAUGUGGCCCGUCUCAUCGUAAUACUGCUGCAACUAACAUCAAUGUUGCUAUGAUGGAAGAAGGGUUGGGUAACGUCCAUGUAGCACUCCGUUACCUGCAUGAGGCGCUAAAAUGUAACCAACGGCUGCUUGGUGUUGAUCACAUACAGGUAUGCAACUCAACCUCGCCUUGUGUUUCAGUGU